CUUCCUUUCAAAACUCAUUAGUGGCAUUUAUCCUCAUUUGAAUGAGAAGAAGCCACAAAGAUUUCAACUGGAGGUUCACUCAGCAGGCCCCAGCAAUUCCCACCAAGCCUUCACACACCAUCAAUCAUUCUCUUUCAUAUGGCUUUGAAUUGGAAAAUUCUUUUCUAUUCCCAUGUCACGGGCUACUCCAGGAGCUUAGCAACUCGAGUGGUUGCCCUGGAAGAGGACUCCACCCUCCCUAACUAAGAGUUAUGCAACACUGGUUCUCAAAAAGUGAGAGAUUUCUAACAAUGCACACAAGAAAGAUUUCUUUCAGUCUAAGUUGCUAGUGGAUGAAAACCUGCCUGGUGUGUUCUUUGGUGGUGAUUAAUAAAUUCUCAGAAGCAAUGCUUCUAAGGAAAAUAAAUUUUAGGUAAGCAGCUAAACAAACAAAUAUCAGAGGAAAAGGCUGUGGGGAGGCAGAGGGACCACGAGCAUCUGCCAGCUCAGGAAAACAACUCUCCUAAACCAGAAUGUGCUGAGGAAGCUGUAUGCACAUCCAAGUCUCUUAACGUAUAAAAUGCCUCAUAUUUCUACAUCCCAG
ensembl:lncRNA